rnacentral:rRNA from 1 species
UACGUAGGGUGCAAGCGUUGUCCGGAAUUAUUGGGCGUAAAGAGCUCGUAGGCGGCUUGUCGCGUCGGCUGUGAAAACCCGCAGCUCAACUGUGGGCUUGCAGCUGAUACGGGCAGGCUUGAGUUCGGUAGGGGAGACGUGGAAUUCCUGGUGUAGCGGUGAAAUGCGCAGAUAUCAGGAGGAACACCGGUGGCGAAGGCGGGUCUCUGGGCCGAUACUGACGCUGAGGAGCGAAAGCGUGGGGAGCGAACAGG